UCCCAGCGUCUCCUUCCUCUGCUCUGUUUCCUUCAUGUACCUGUACUAGGCGAUCUGUGAGCUAGGGUUAGCAAUUUGCUCCAUCGGCCACUCUCUCGCCAUCCGCCGGUCCACCCUACCUAGUUGUAGCACCAGUGGCCCUCCUAUCCUCUGAAACGCCUCACCAAGCAGCCACCAUCAGCGCCGUCGGGGAGCAUGUUAUGUAGCGCCGCCGUUCUUUAGGUCCGGUCAACGUCGGCGCAGCCAUCGCCAAGGAGCCGCACAUCUUCUGCAGCUUAAAGAAUCAUGUGUAUGAUAUCCAAUUCGUACUAUUAUGUAUUGUCUGCAUGUUCAGCUGCAAGCUCAUCUCUAGAGAAAAUAAAUUGCUGUACAAGCUACUGUUGUAGUUGCAUCCACUUUGUCUCUUUCAGCAAGCUUGGAGCUGGAUGGUGAUUAAGCCUUAAGCUAUUUCGUACGCCAAGAUAUAUUGAAAUUUCGAAGUUUCAGUGUGUAAAGCAUCUCUUGUAGUAAGCGGUCGAUGUAUGUUUGGACAGACAAAAGGCAGAUACAAGAGUUGGAAAACGUCAAAACAGAGCACAGUGGGCCUUCUAUUCAAGAUAGUCGUGUAGAACAAAGCUAUCCUUAUGAAAUAAGUAUAUUACAUCAUAUGUAUGUGCGCAAUGUUUGAGUUAGACUGGGUUUAUGACAGUGGUGAACAGAAAUUUAUAUAUGAUCCUAUCAAA